AUGUAACCGAAGGAGCUCCCUUCGUCCAAAACGAAGAGGACAAGAUUUAAGGAAAUAGAAAUAGAAAAUCUAAUUGUUCAUGGAUUCCCUAUUAAGUGCUUGAAUAAUGAGCACUUUAUAAAGGGUUUGCAUGGCCUCUUAGAUCUUCUCUCUUUCUCUACGUAUAUAUAUCCUUCUCUUCUCUUCGUUUGGAUUGAAGGGAGCUCCUUUUAUUUUUCUC
rnacentral:pre_miRNA from 1 species